CCUGGCUCAGGAUGAACGCUAGCUACAGGCUUAACACAUGCAAGUCGAGGGGCAGCAUGGUCUUAGCUUGCUAAGGCCGAUGGCGACCGGCGCACGGGUGAGUAACACGUAUCCAACCUGCCGUCUACUCUUGGACAGCCUUCUGAAAGGAAGAUUAAUACAAGAUGGCAUCAUGAGUCCGCAUGUUCACAUGAUUAAAGGUAUUCCGGUAGACGAUGGGGAUGCGUUCCAUUAGAUAGUAGGCGGGGUAACGGCCCACCUAGUCUUCGAUGGAUAGGGGUUCUGAGAGGAAGGUCCCCCACAUUGGAACUGAGACACGGUCCAAACUCCUACGGGAGGCAGCAGUGAGGAAUAUUGGUCAAUGGGCGAGAGCCUGAACCAGCCAAGUAGCGUGAAGGAUGACUGCCCUAUGGGUUGUAAACUUCUUUUAUAAAGGAAUAAAGUCGGGUAUGGAUACCCGUUUGCAUGUACUUUAUGAAUAAGGAUCGGCUAACUCCGUGCCAGCAGCCGCGGUAAUACGGAGGAUCCGAGCGUUAUCCGGAUUUAUUGGGUUUAAAGGGAGCGUAGAUGGAUGUUUAAGUCAGUUGUGAAAGUUUGCGGCUCAACCGUAAAAUUGCAGUUGAUACUGGAUAUCUUGAGUGCAGUUGAGGCAGGCGGAAUUCGUGGUGUAGCGGUGAAAUGCUUAGAUAUCACGAAGAACUCCGAUUGCGAAGGCAGCCUGCUAAGCUGCACUGACAUUGAGGCUCGAAAGUGUGGGUAUCAAACAGGAUUAGAUACCCUGGUAGUCCACACGGUAAACGAUGAAUACUCGCUGUUUGCGAUAUACUGCAAGCGGCCAAGCGAAAGCGUUAAGUAUUCCACCUGGGGAGUACGCCGGCAACGGUGAAACUCAAAGGAAUUGACGGGGGCCCGCACAAGCGGAGGAACAUGUGGUUUAAUUCGAUGAUACGCGAGGAACCUUACCCGGGCUUAAAUUGCAGAUGAAUUACGGUGAAAGCCGUAAGCCGCAAGGCAUCUGUGAAGGUGCUGCAUGGUUGUCGUCAGCUCGUGCCGUGAGGUGUCGGCUUAAGUGCCAUAACGAGCGCAACCCUUGUUGUCAGUUACUAACAGGUUCCGCUGAGGACUCUGACGAGACUGCCAUCGUAAGAUGUGAGGAAGGUGGGGAUGACGUCAAAUCAGCACGGCCCUUACGUCCGGGGCUACACACGUGUUACAAUGGGGGGUACAGAGGGCCGCUACCACGCGAGUGGAUGCCAAUCCCCAAAACCUCUCUCAGUUCGGACUGGAGUCUGCAACCCGACUCCACGAAGCUGGAUUCGCUAGUAAUCGCGCAUCAGCCACGGCGCGGUGAAUACGUUCCCGGGCCUUGUACACACCGCC
rnacentral:rRNA from 1 species